rnacentral:tRNA from 1 species
AAAGGAGAGCACAAUGCAUCUUUGAUUUCGGCUCAAAGAAAGAACUAACCUUCCUCCUUUU